rnacentral:lncRNA from 1 species
GGAAUUUCCAGGAGAUCUUUCAGCAGCACAAGGCUUGGAAGCUAGAAAGAAUGCCAAGAAAGAGUCAGCUGUUUAGAAGCAAGAAAAUCUGUGCCCCUUAAUUGUGGAAACACAAGUUCAAAUCCCAGCUCUCCUGCUUGCCAGCUACAGGCUCAAGGGAGCCAUACCAGGCUGGAUUCACUUGUUCACAUUUCUAAUCUAACAGCAGAGGAAACUAGGACCCAGUUAGGUAAGUUAAUCCUUCAAGGUGACAAAAAGUUAGUGUUGAGACUAAAACUAGACAUAGAAGAGAUUAUUUCCCAGUCCAUGGA